AACGAACGCUGGCGGCAUGCCUAACACAUGCAAGUCGAACGAGACCUUCGGGUCUAGUGGCGCACGGGUGCGUAACGCGUGGGAACCUGCCCUUAGGUUCGGAAUAACUCCUCGAAAGGGGUGCUAAUACCGGAUAAUGUCUUCGGACCAAAGAUUUAUCGCCUUUGGAUGGGCCCGCGUUGGAUUAGCUAGUUGGUAGGGUAAAAGCCUACCAAGGCGACGAUCCAUAGCUGGUCUGAGAGGAUGAUCAGCCACACUGGGACUGAGACACGGCCCAGACUCCUACGGGAGGCAGCAGUUGGGAAUAUUGGACAGUGGGCGAAAGCCUGAUCCAGCAAUGCCGCGUGAGUGAUGAAGGCCUUAGGGUUGUAAAGCUCUUUUACCCGGGAUGAUAAUGACAGUACCGGGAGAAUAAGCUCCGGCUAACUCCGUG
rnacentral:rRNA from 1 species